rnacentral:rRNA from 1 species
UACGAAGGGGGGCUAGCGUUGCUCGGAAUCACUGGGCGUAAAGGGUGCGUAGGCGGGUUCUUAAGUCAGAGGUGAAAUCCUGGAGCUCAACUCCAGAACUGCCUUUGAUACUGAGAGUCUUGAGUUCGGGAGAGGUGAGUGGAACUGCGAGUGUAGAGGUGAAAUUCGUAGAUAUUCGCAAGAACACCAGUGGCGAAGGCGGCUCACUGGCCCGAUACUGACGCUGAGGCACGGAAAGCGUGGGGAGCAAACAGG